AUAAAGAUCUUUUGGUUGCUCCGAGUGUUGUGGUCACUUUCCUUUCACUUCUGGCUUCUUUUUGGAGAGAACAUAGCUUUGGGUUCCAGUUCCAAAUCUUUAGUAACUAAGACGAACAUAACAGAGUUGCACCAGUGAAUCUGUCCAGCCUGGUAGAAACACUCAAGGCAUUUGUUCUGGAGGACAUCAUUAGUCAUCUGGUGAUCACCUGCAAAGAGGCAACACCACCUUUGUCCACGAAUUUUUGCGCAACUACCAAUAUUCGACUAAUACACAGAUGUCGAUGGAGCUGCUGUGUAAAAAGUAUGAAAAUCUCCAGGAAGAUGCUGAGGAGUACUUUCAAGUAAAGAAGUGAAUGGUCUUUGGGCCAAGAGGGAGGGUUCCUUUCUCCAGAUGGGGGCACACAGGAGGCUGGUGUAAAAGAUGCUGGGCAAACUCCAGGUCCCACACUUGUGUGAUUCCCAGCCCAGGGCUAAGCUCCAGUGCCACCUCAAGUUAUAGGAAUGCCUCCGGCAGAAGAGCUCCAAUUUCCAUCCUUACCCUUGGGGCAGCUCACAGCCACACCUGCUGAGCUGGAGGAAGAUCAAUCAUCAAAACUGGAAGACACAUCAACUAUAGCAACAUCAACAGAGGGAGAAGUUAGAGCCUCCAGCGGCCACCAUGACAUCUCAGCUGUCAGCAACCAAGCUGGAGGAUAUUGAACCAUGUUUUCCAGUUGCUGUGGAUAGUGAAACCUGUGUCUACAUCUCUUGAAACAGAGUCACCUCCCUCUGUGGUAGCAGAAAUUACAGACACCAAAAAGCUAGAGGUAGAAGAUUCAGUAAUUUUCCAAAGUAUACCAGCUACUGAAUAAGCCUCCCCUCAUGCCCAAUAGUCAAGGCAAAACCCCCUCCACUUCUUUCCCAACUCCACCCCCCGAAAUAAAAGACAUAUUUUUA